CCUACGGGUGGCUGCAGUGGGGAAUAUUGCACAAUGGGGGAAACCCUGAUGCAGCAACGCCGCGUGAGUGAAGAAGUCAUUCGUGAUGUAAAGCUCUAUCAGCAGGGAAGAAAAUGACGGUACCUGACUAAGAAGCCCCGGCUAACUACGUGCCAGCAGCCGCGGUCAAACGUAGGGGGCAAGCGUUAAUCGGAUUUACUGGGUGUAAAGGGAGCGUUGACGGCGACGCAAGUCUAAAGGGAAAUGCCAGUGCUCAACACUGGAAGUGCUUUGGAAACUGGGUGGCUAGAGUGCGGGAGAGGUAAGUGGAAUGCCUGGUGUAGCGGUGAAAUGCGUAGAUAUUAGGAGGAACACCAGUGGCGAAGGCAGCUUACUGGACUGUAACUGACGUUGAGGCUCGAAGGUGUGGGGAGCGAACAGGAUUAGAUACCCGGGUAGUC
rnacentral:rRNA from 1 species